rnacentral:rRNA from 1 species
AUGGCAAUGGCUGUGGAGGCGCGUCUCCGGCAGGAGAAGGUGAAGAAGUUUGAAGAUUUCGUUGACCGGCGGCUCAAGCCUGACCUCGUUAACGCCAUAGCCCAGCGCGAUAACUUGUUCCAGCAGCAGAAGACAUUCUUGGAUUUGAAGAAGAACAUCGAAAAUUUGGAAAAGAAUGGUGUAACGAGUAUGCGAUCUAUGGUCAAUCUUGGGUCAGAGGUGUACAUGCAGGCAGAAAUGCCGGACACGAAGCACAUCUUUGUGGAUAUUGGUCUAGGUUUUCAUGUGGAGUUUACUUGGCAAGAGGCUUUGCAGUUUAUAUCUGUAAGAGAAGCAAGGUUGGCCAGACAAAUAGAUGAGUACACACACCUCAUAGCGAGCAUAAAAGCACAGAUCAAGUUGGUGUGUGAAGGUAUCCGCGAACUCCUGCAAUUACCAGCGGAGUAA